GACUAUUGUUGCUUAUAUUCAAAGUGGCUUCGCGGGUUUUCUUUUUUAUUUCUCUCUUUUUUUCGCAAUAUUUUUUUCCACUUUGAAUUGGUUCUAUAAGUAUUUUUCAGCAGAAAAACAGAUUCCAUUUUCCUGUUGUGUUAAAUACUUUACAGAAAGUUACUGGCGCAAAAGCAUGACGAUAAUCAAUUAUAGUCUUAUAGUAUGCAUGCAGAAAUAAGCAAAAGCCCCCUAUUUCUAGCUGCCUAACCUUUCAUAACUAGUGCGCACGCGCAUACAACCUUUCAAAAACCUGCAAGGGAAUACCCCCGAAUGUGGAGUCUCCGUCAUGCCCUUAGCUUAACCUAACCUAGUGUGCCAUCGCACCUGGUGAGCUUCCACAAACAGGAGCAAGGUUGGCAUGCCUUAUGUUAAUUGUCUUCCACUUAGUCGUUGAGCCACCAUAACAGAGGGGGGACCUAAUCUCUGGUAGCGAACUGUUUUCAUAUAACUCGGGGCAGAAAACUAACGUUCGAAACCAGUGAUAAACAUGCACCACGGGCGAUGAAGGCCUAGACUACAGUAUUUAUUAUUACAAUAAUUGUGUCAUUACAGUCCUAAACUGAUCUUUGUGUCAAACUGUCCACGAUAUCCACCAAUCUUCUUACGGGUACCAUUUGCACCCUCUGAGCUAUGGAUACAAUUUGUACCCAGUUUAGUUAUCCUACCGAAGGAAAACUAUGCCAGCUUUUCAACAAAAUUUUGGCUAUACCCAUAUAUUACGUACACAAAUAUACAGAUCAUGUAAUAGAUUAAGGUUAAGGUUAUAGGGUUAGAUUUAACCCCAAACCUAAGCCUAACGCAUUUCAUGAGAUUUCUAUACAUUUAUGAACAUAACAUAUCGAUAUAAACAAAAAUUUAAAGUCUGGCAAGGUUUUACUUGUCUGCCUAUAUUCUGGAUUCUAACUGCGCGCUGCAGACACGGGAGACACCUAAGCAGUACAUUUACACAAAGAGAAGAACAUUGGCACGAACAGACCGCAAGUUAAGCUAGUGGGUCUCACUACGAGUUACUAGAGUGAAAAAAAUAAUGUUCACUGUUUUUUACUUUAUGUAGUAGCCUUGUAUUUGAAGCAAUUGAAUUGCUCCAGGAAGUGUCAACAUUUCUGAUGUUGACCAUCGUCUGGAUUGUAACACUUACUGAAACCCACCAAUAACCGAACCGAGUGCAUGCAACGAACCACGUGACCGAAAGCUCAAAUGUCAACCUCUUAAUUAAGAUUGACUUUCGAUUGCAGGUGAUUAUCGAAAUUCUGAUUAACUGAGGUCAAAAUAGUACCUCAUUUUUUAUUACCAUGCAAACAUCUGAAUAAAAGUCAACCUUGUGUGCAAAUGUACAACUAACGACAGACCGCCAGGAAUUUUAAACCGGUUUAUCCCAAAGACUUCACCGAAC